UAUGCAUGACGUAGGGCUACACAUGCAGUCGAACGGCAGCACAGAGGAGCUUGCUCCUUGGGUGGCGAGUGGCGGACGGGUGAGGAAUACAUCGGAAUCUACUUUUUCGUGGGGGAUAACGUAGGGAAACUUACGCUAAUACCGCAUACGACCUACGGGUGAAAGCAGGGGACCUUCGGGCCUUGCGCGAUUGAAUGAGCCGAUGUCGGAUUAGCUAGUUGGCGGGGUAAGGGCCCACGGGAGGCGCCGAUCCGUAGCGGGUUUAGGAGAGCGAUGAUCAGCCAUACUGGAACUGAGACUCGGUCGAGACUCGUACGGUAGGCAGCAGUGGGGAUGAUCAGACAGUGGGAGCAUGCUUGAUCCAGCCCAUACGGCGUGGGUGACGAAGCCCUCCGGCAUGUAAUGCCGUUUGGUUGGAAAAGAAAUCGAGCCGUCUAAUACCUGGUUGGGAUGACGGUACCAAAAGAAUAAGCACCGGCUAACUUCGUGCCAGCAGCCGCGGUAAUACGAAGGGUGCAAGCGUUACUCGGAAUUACUGGGCGUAAAGCGUGCGUAGGUGGUUGUUUAAGUCUGUUGUGAAAGCCCUGGGCUCAACCUGGGAACUGCAGUGGAAACUGGACGACUAGAGUGUGGUAGAGGGUAGCGGAAUUCCCGGUGUAGCAGUGAAAUGCGUAGAGAUCGGGAGGAACAUCCAUGGCGAAGGCAGCUACCUGGACCAACACUGACACUGAGGCACGAAAGCGUGGGGAGCAAACAGGAUUAGAUACCCUGGUAGUCCACGCCCUAAACGAUGCGAACUGGAUGUUGGGUGCAAUUUGGCACGCAGUAUCGAAGCUAACGCGUUAAGUUCGCCGCCUGGGGAGUACGGUCGCAAGACUGAAACUCAAAGGAAUUGACGGGGGCCCGCACAAGCGGUGGAGUAUGUGGUUUAAUUCGAUGCAACGCGAAGAACCUUACCUGGCAUUGACAUGUCGAGAUCUUUCGAGAGAUGGAUUGGUGCUUUCGGGCACUCGAUCACAGGUGCUGCAUGCCUGUCGUCAGCUCGUGUCAUGAGAUGUAGGGUGCAGUCCUGCAGCGAGCGCACGCCUUGUCACUAGCUGCCAGCACGUAAUGGUGGUGACUCUAUGGAGACCGCCCGUGACAGCAGGGGCGGACGGCGUCCGCCAUAAGGUCAAGCCAGUCUCAGCACUCCUCGGCGCAUGGCUGCACUCGGACAUAGCAUUCGGAGGGACAGAGGGCUGCAAGCCGGCGACGGUAAGCCAAUCCCAGAAACCCCAUCUCAGUCCGGAUUGGAGUCUGCAACUCGACUCCAUGAAGUCGGAAUCGCUAGUAAUCGCAGAUCAGCAUUGCUGCGGUGAAUACGUUCCCGGGCCUUGUACACACCGCCCGUCACACCAUGGGAGUUUGUUGCACCAGAAGCAGGUAGCUUAACCUUCGGGAGGGCGCUUGCCACGGUGUGGCCGAUGACUGGGGUGAAGUCGAACAUGAGCUGUACAACGAAACCC
rnacentral:rRNA from 1 species